rnacentral:rRNA from 1 species
CUACGGGGUGCUGCAGUGAGGAAUAUUGCACAAUGGGGGGAACCCUGAUGCAGCAACGCCGCGUGGAGGAUGACGCAUUUCGGUGUGUAAACUCCUUUUAUAUGUCAAGAAAAUGACGGUAGCAUAUGAAUAAGCACCGGCUAACUCCGUGCCAGCAGCCGCGGUAAUACGGGGGGUGCAAGCGUUACUCGGAAUCGCUGGGCGUAAAGGACGCGUAGGCGGGUUGGAAAGUCAGGUGUGAAAUCCUACAGCUUAACUGUAGAACUGCACUUGAAACUUCUAAUCUAGAGUAUGGGAGGGGGAGAUGGAAUGAGUGGUGUAGGGGUAAAAUCCGUAGAUAUCACUAGGAAUACCUAAAGCGAAGGCGAUCUCCUGGAACAUUACUGACGCUAAGGCGUGAAAGCGUGGGGAGCAAACAGGAUUAGAUACCCCUGUAGUC